UUUAGCUUUUACGUAACACAUUGGAAUAAUAUGGGUAACCUUAAAGGAGGAGGAACUCGGAUUACAGGGAGUCAUUAGAAUGUAUAUAUGCAGGAGGUUUGCUAGGUUGGGAGCAUUAACUCCAUCAGACCACUGGGUAUCCACUUGCCAUAAUAAGGAAGUCAGUUUAGCAAAUGGGCACUAGCAGCCCAUACAAGAUGAAGUGCUAUCACAGUGAAUAAUCACUUUAGGUUUUACAAUUAGCUUUAUCAAGCCCAUUAAAUGAUUUGUCAUUGUCAAAUUGUUGUUACCUCCCUUUUCCACUUCAGGAAUUUAAACAUUCUAUAAUCUUAUGGAGGUAGAAGGCAACCAAAGACAUGAAGGAUAAACUGACAAAAAUAUAAGAAGAAAACAAGAAAAACUGAAAGUUUUCAUGUUUGGAAGGGUCAAAUUAAAUUAUCAAGUCAUGUGGUGACAAAAUAAUGAAAAAAAGUACUUGAUGGUCAUCACAAGCUGUUCCACAUCUGCUCUUCCUACACAGACCUCAGGCCCAGGAGUAAAAGUAGCUCUACAAAUAGUAAUUAUGGUGUCAUGGGAUAGAACUGCAACAGAAAUCCUGAUCAAAGAUGAAACAUACAUGGAUUUGACCAUUCAGGACUCAGAAUAUACACAGUGCAGGAAGCAACAGCAGCAUUCAUGGAUUUAGUGAAUUCAUCUUAUCAAGCACCUUAUAGACGCCAACACAUUUUGAUAUUUUUCCUGGGCCCAGACUACCUUUCCUCACCAUCUGUAAUAAAGUAUAGGUCAGAGGGGCUGCAAUUGAAGAGAAGGUGGGGCUUUCAGUGUUCAAAAGAGAUUAAAGGAGGUACGUACAUAUGGAGGCAUGAGAAAGAAAGCCCAGUAGGACCUUUGCCACACAGGGAUUGAAGCUGUGGGUUCCUCAGGGGUAUAUAUAAGGGGUGUCCUCCUAAUGUUUACAUUAUCCUGAGAUGAGACCUGAGUUUACAUUAUUCAUGGCUCUGUGUUUGUCUGUGAGUGUAUGAGCACUGGUGAGGAUAGAAACAAACCACCUCCCUCAUCACUACUUAUUACAAAUGUCUUCAUGGUUGGUAUCAGAU
ensembl:lincRNA